rnacentral:rRNA from 1 species
CAGUAGGGAGGAAGGUAGUGUAGUUAAUACCUGCAUUAUUUGACGUUACCUACAGAAGAAGCACCGGCUAACUCCGUGCCAGCAGCCGCGGUAAUACGGAGGGGUGCGAGCGUUAAUCGGAAUUACUGGGCGUAAAGCGCAUGCAGGCGGCCUGUUAAGUCAGAUGUGAAAGACCCGGGGCGUUAACCUCGGAAAUUGCAUUUGUAAACUAGGCAGGCUAGAGUCUUGUAGAGGGGGGUAGGGAAUUUCAGGUGUAGCGGUGAAAUAGCGUAGAGAUCUGAAGGAAUACCAGUGGCGAAGGCGGCCCCCUCGGACAAAGACUGACGCUCAGAUGCGAAAGCGUGGGGAGCAAACAGGAUUAGAUACCCUGGUAG